rnacentral:rRNA from 1 species
CCUACGGGAGGCAGCAGUGAGGAAUAUUGGUCAAUGGGCGGGAGCCUGAACCAGCCAAGUCGCGUGAAGGACGAAAGUACUUAGUAUUGUAAACUUCUUUUGUCGGGGAACAAAGUAGGAGACGCGUCUCCGGAUGAGUGUACCCGAAGAAAAAGCAUCGGCUAACUCCGUGCCAGCAGCCGCGGUAAUACGGAGGAUGCGAGCGUUAUCCGGAGUCAUUGGGUUAAAAGGGUGCGCAGGCGGUAGAGUAAUUCAGCGGUAAAAGGUCGGGGCUCAACCCCGGCCGGCCGGUGAAACUGGUGUUCGAGAGUUGGAGAGAAGUAUGCGGAAUGCGUGGUGUAGCGGUGAAAUGCAUAGAUAUCACGAAGAACUCCGAUUGCGAAGGCAGCAUACCGGCUCCAUACUGACGCUGAGGCACGAAAGCGUGGGGAUCGAACAGGAUUAGAUACCCUAGUAGUC